AGCCCCUGUGUGUUCUUUCAAAUCCUCACUGCCAAUUCACCCACUCUCCUUGGACCAUAGCAUGGGCUGGAACUUGACACUGGGUCUGACAACACCUUAGUUCUGUAGGGGAGAAGAAUCACCAUCAAAGUUUCUGACUUAGAAGUCAAUUGCAUCAAAAAUCAUUGAAAUUUUUACUUAAUCAAAAUUGACUUUUAAAGUAACCAAAUAUUGUAAAAUUAUGUUUAUAUCACACAGAUUAAUUUAACUGUCAUUUUUUAAAUGAAGGUGAUAUUAGGAGCAAAAAGAAAUGUUAACGUUACAGCAUGUUAUUUAUUUAUCUGUUAGCCUUAUCAGUUGAAUACUGUGAAUGCCUGAGAUAUUGAAGAACUAAAUCAGAUAUCAACAAAUGCAUCAUAAAAUUGCAUUACAAUUUUAACUAAAUAAGUAUUUCAUUUUUCAAAGGUAGUUGAAAAAUCUCUAUAAAAUUCAAUCAAAUGAGCACUAAAAUGUUAACAUCUGAAGUUUUUAUCAAAUUGCAGUAUUUUUUAAAAACUGAAAACAGAAAUAUGUUGAAACAUAUUGCUAAAAAAAAAAAAAACAAGAGAGUAAACUGAAUAAAUUAAACCAUGAGAGCUGAAAAAGUAUA
rnacentral:lncRNA from 1 species